UACGUAGGGGGCAAGCGUUGUCCGGAAUUAUUGGGCGUAAAGAGCGUGUAGGCGGUCCGGUAAGUCGGUUGUGAAAGUCCAGGGCUCAACCCUGGGAUGCCGAUCGAUACUGCCGGACUAGAGUCCGGAAGAGGCGAGUGGAAUUCCCGGUGUAGCGGUGAAAUGCGCAGAUAUCGGGAGGAACACCUAUGGGCGAAGGCAGCUCGCUGGGACGUUACUGACGCUGGAGACGCGAAAGCGUGGGGAGCAAACAGG
rnacentral:rRNA from 1 species